AUUUGCACAGGAUCUUUUGCAGUCUGUGUCAGCUCCCUGCCUAGAGUUCAGCUAAGCCAUAGAUAAUCCUUUUGCUUUAAGGUGAGGUAGCAAGUUAAGGGUGAUUCAGCGACCUUUGGCAUCUCUUUUUAAGCAGCUGAAGUUGAAGGAUAAGCUCCAUGCACAGCCUCUUCUCUGAAGAUCCUCUCUUUGAGUAAAACUAUAAAUGAAAAAAAAUAAAGGAGGGAAAAACUCAUCACUUAAGUUGCAAUUCAGGGACCAGUUUUUGCUUCUGCCAUUCUUAUUGUAGGCAAAGAAGGCAAUGCAACUUGAUAGUUCUGUCAUCCUUUGAAAAGAGAUCCUCUUGUGAAAAACAAAUCCUCAAGCUGCCCCUACAAUGGAGAUGUCCCUGCAGGAGGCAUGGUUUGUGACUGAGUAUGGAAUUGCAGUGCAGUCCAUGGCUGGCUGAGUCUGCUGAGUGAACUUCUAGAGGUGCAGGAUUUCAUCCCCCUCCUAACCAGCAGUCCCUUGAGAUGAGACUUCUGUAGAGAUGGUAUCCCUUGUUGGAGGAGAUGGAAACACACAUGCACAAAUGCUAUGUAGUCAUGUAAAGAGGCUGUUCAAAAUAAAGCUGUCACCUUCACAAGCCUGGAAGAUGAUUUGGAUUGAGACAAACACAGAAGCCUGUGAGCUCCAUCUUUCAAAACAAAGAGAAAUACCUGCAAGGUCUGAGGAGCAAAGAGCCUGAAGGUAAGCCCAUCACUGACCACAGAGAGGCCACAAGGCCCCAGCAAGGGGGCAGGGGACAGCCUGGGAAUGGCAGUAUCUGUAUCUAUGGAGAGUGU